AGAGUUUGAUCCUGGCUCAGGACGAACGCUGGCGGCGUGCUUAACACAUGCAAGUCGUGGGCGCCUCGCAAGAGGCGACCGGCGAACGGGUGCGUAACACGUGAGCGACCCUCCGAUUCGUGGGGGAUAGCCGGCCCAACGGCCGGGUAAUACCGCAUACGCCAAACGGGCUGCAUGGCCUGUUUGGGAAACCUCCGGGGCGAAUCGAGGGGCUCGCGGCCUAUCAGCUAGUUGGCGGGGUAACGGCCCACCAAGGCGACGACGGGUAGCUGGUCUGAGAGGAUGGCCAGCCACAUUGGGACUGAGAAACGGCCCAGACUCCUACGGGAGGCAGCAGUGGGGAAUAUUGCGCAAUGGCCGCAAGGCUGACGCAGCGACGCCGCGUGUGGGAUGAAGCCCUUCGGGGUGUAAACCACUGUUGCCCGGGACGAACGAGAGGCUUUCGCCUCUGUGACGGUACCGGGUGAGGAAGCACCGGCUAACUCCGUGCCAGCAGCCGCGGUAAUACGGAGGGUGCGAGCGUUGUCCGGAAUCACUGGGCGUAAAGGGCGCGUAGGCGGCUUGGUAAGGG
rnacentral:rRNA from 1 species